rnacentral:rRNA from 1 species
CCUACGGGUGGCAGCAGUAGGGAAUUUUCGUCAAUGGGCGCAAGCCUGAACGAGCGAUGCCGCGUGAGUGAAGAAGGCCUUCGGGUCGUAAAGCUCUGUUGCGGGGGAAAAAAGGCAGCAUCAGGAAAUGGGUGCUGACUGAUGGUGCCCCGCCAGAAAGUCCCGGCUAACUACGUGCCAGCAGCCGCGGUAAUACGGAGGAUGCGAGCGUUAUCCGGAUUUAUUGGGUUUAAAGGGUGCGUAGGCGGAAUGCCAAGUCAGCGGUAAAAUCGCGGGGCUCAACCUCGCUCCGCCGUUGAAACUGGCGUUCUUGAGUGGGCGAGAAGUAGGCGGAAUGCGUGGUGUAGCGGUGAAAUGCAUAGAUAUCACGCAGAACUCCGAUUGCGAAGGCAGCAUACCGGCGCCCAACUGACGCUGAAGCACGAAAGCGUGGGUAUCGAACAGGAUUAGAUACCCCAGUAGUC